UUAACCGAAACCAAAAUAGAGGUAUAUUACUGUUAAUAAUAUUAAUGAAGUUAUAUUCCGGUUAAG
rnacentral:tRNA from 1 species